UUUAUGACUUUGUUUGUAUUCUUAUGUGUAUUGUGAUUAUAUUAUAUUUUUUAUGAUAGUAAUAAAUCGAAGUGAAGAUAUUUAUUAAAACCAACGUUGGAGGCUUUCAAUGGAUAGAGAGAUAAAAAGAUUUUCAGCUCACACGUAUCCUGAUCCACAAAGACCGACCACAACACAGAAUUUGUGGGAGUAAUUUAUUCUAUCCUACAUUCACAGCCAUUAUUGCUAGCUGUGGAAAGGUAAAUGCGGCUAACGUUGGUGCGAUGAGAGAAAUUUCAAACAUAUGAGUAUAAAAGCGGAUGUUAUCUUAGUUUUUUUAAGAAAUGGAAAAUAAACUAUAUCAAUUAAUAAUUU